rnacentral:rRNA from 1 species
AUUGAACGCUGGCGGCAUGCUUUACACAUGCAAGUCGAACGGUAACAGGCCGCAAGGUGCUGACGAGUGGCGAACGGGUGAGUAAUGCAUCGGAACGUGCCCAGUCGUGGGGGAUAACGCAGCGAAAGUUGCGCUAAUACCGCAUACGAUCUAUGGAUGAAAGCGGGGGACCGUAAGGCAUCGCGCGAUUGGAGCGGCCGAUGUGAGAUUAGGUAUGUGGUGGGGUAAAGGCUCACCAAGCCGAGGAUCUGUAGCUGGUAUGAGAGGACGACCAGCCACACUGGGACUGAGACACGGCCCAGACUCCUACGGGAGGCAGCAGUGGGGAAUUUUGGACAAUGGGCGCAAGCCUGAUCCAGCAAUGCCGCGUGCAGGAAGAAGGCCUUCGGGUUGUAAACUGCUUUUGUACGGAACGAAACGGUCCUGGUUAAUACCCGGGGCUAAUGACGGUACCGUAAGAAUAAGCACCGGCUAACUACGUGCCAGCAGCCGCCGUAACAC